GACGGGGGCCCGCACAAGCGGCGGAGCAUGCGGAUUAAUUCGAUGCAACGCGAAGAACCUUACCAAGGCUUGACAUACACUGGACCGUUCUGGAAACAGUUCUUCUCUUUGGAGCUGGUGUACAGGUGGUGCAUGGUUGUCGUCAGCUCGUGUCGUGAGAUGUUGGGUUAAGUCCCGCAACGAGCGCAACCCUCGUUCUAUGUUGCCAGCACGUGAUGGUGGGAACUCAUAGGAGACUGCCGGGGUCAACUCGGAGGAAGGUGGGGAUGACGUCAAAUCAUCAUGCCCUUUAUGUCUUGGGCUUCACGCAUGCUACAAUGGCUGGUACAGAGAGAGGCGAACCCGUGAGGGUAAGCGAAUCCCUUAAAGCCAGUCUCAGUUCGGAUCGUAGUCUGCAAUUCGACUACGUGAAGUCGGAGUCGCUAGUAAUCGCAGAUCAGCAACGCUGCGGUGAAUACGUUCCCGGGCCUUGUACACACCGCCCGUCAAGUCACGAAAGUCGGUAACACCCGAAGCCGGUGUCCCAACCCACUUGUGGGAGGGGGCCGUCUAAGGUGGGA
rnacentral:rRNA from 1 species